rnacentral:misc_RNA from 1 species
GGUUCACGUCGCCGGAGUUUUCAUCCUCGUCGGAAUCGCCGUGCUUGCCGCCGUCGAAGGACGUAAUGUUUUGAAACUUCCGUCGGAAGCUUCCAGAUUCUUCGAUGACGCAGAUGACUCUGUUGGAACCAGAUGGGCCGUCCUUCUCGCCGGAUCAAAUGGUUAUUGGAAUUAUAGACAUCAGGCUGAUGUAUGCCAUGCGUAUCAGCUAUUGAGAAAAGGUGGUCUCAAAGAUGAAAAUAUUAUUGUCUUCAUGUAUGAUGACAUUGCUCACCAUGAAGAGAACCCAAGACCAGGAGUUAUUAUUAAUAGUCCUGCCGGUGAGGAUGUUUACGAAGGAGUUCCUAAGGAUUACACGGGAGAUGAUGUUAAUGUGCACAACUUUUUAGCUGUUCUCCUUGGUAACAAAACUGCUCUUACUGGAGGUAGCGGAAAGGUGGUGAAUAGUGGUCCAAAUGAUCAUAUUUUCAUAUUCUAUAGUGAUCAUGGUGGCCCUGGCGUGCUUGGGAUGCCUACCAAUCCUUAUCUAUAUGCCGAUGAUCUAAUUGCUGUGUUGAAAAAGAAGCAUGCCGCUGGGACAUAUAAAAGCUUGGUAUUGUACAUUGAAGCUUGCGAGUCUGGAAGUAUAUUUGAGGGACUUCUUCCUAAUGGUCUAAAUAUUUAUGCCACAACAGCUUCAAAUGCUGAAGAAAGCAGCUGGGGAACCUAUUGUCCUGGAGAAUAUCCUAGUCCUCCUCCUGAAUAUGAGACUUGCUUGGGUGAUUUGUAUGCUGUUUCCUGGAUGGAGGACAGUGAAAUGCACAACUUGCGGACUGAAAAUUUGAGGCAGCAGUAUCACUUGGUCAAAAAGAGAACUGCAAAUGGAAAUACUGCCUAUGGUUCCCAUGUCAUGCAAUUUGGUGAUCUACAACUGAGUAUGGAGUCUCUAUUCAGGUUUAUGGGUACAAAUCCUGCAAAUGA